UACGUAGGGUGCGAGCGUUGUCCGGAAUUAUUGGGCGUAAAGGGCUCGUAGGCGGUUUGUCGCGUCGGGAGUGAAAACUCAGGGCUUAACCCUGAGCCUGCUUCCGAUACGGGCAGACUAGAGGUAUGCAGGGGAGAAUGGAAUUCCUGGUGUAGCGGUGGAAUGCGCAGAUAUCAGGAGGAACACCGAUGGCGAAGGCAGGUCUCUGGGCCGCAACUGACGCUGAGGAGCGAAAGCAUGGGGAGCGAACAGG
rnacentral:rRNA from 1 species